UACGUAGGCAGCAAGCGUUGUUCGGAGUUACUGGGCGUAAAGGGUGCGUAGGCGGCUUUUUAAGUCUGAUGUGAAAGCCCACGGCUCAACCGUGGAGGGUCAUUGGAAACUGGGGGACUUGAGUGCAGAAGAGGAAAGCGGAAUUCCACGUGUAGCGGUGAAAUGCGUAGAGAUGUGGAGGAACACCAGUGGCGAAAGCGGCUUCCUGGUCCGACACCGACGUUCAGGCACGAAAGCGUGGGGGGCAAACAGG
rnacentral:rRNA from 1 species